UUUGGGACGUACAGACAGACAAGGGUAAAACUUAAUGCCCCCUCCGCUACGGCGGGGGCAUAAAAAUAAGAUUAUCAUCAAUUUAAUUGGAAGUUGUGAACAUAAUGAUAAAUUCUGAUUAAGAAAAUAACAUUUUCAAAAUCAAAAUAUAAAUAAUAAAAGCUGCCAGCUUAUAUUUUAACAUUAUGUCUUACUUAAGAUAAUGAAUUUUCAGUAUCUGAAAUGAUUAUAUAAAACCAUUUAUCUGAUUUUUGUCUAUUUUGAUUUUACAACUGUAAACCAACUAUUUUAUGUGAGCUUAUUAUUCAUACACUUUGGAAGAAAAAAAAUAAUGCAAGUAUAAAUAGUCACAAAUUUGUCCAAUUUGGAUCAUCUUGAUCUUACUUAAUUAGAAAAUUGUGAAAAAAAAUUGCUGCAAAGUCGUCCAUAAGUGAUAAACAUGUAAAGAAGUCUUCCAAAAAAAUAAUUGGGUAUACAGUUUUAUUCAAUUUAUGAAUAUGAAACAGGAACAUUUGACUACAAAUUCAAAGAUAUCAAUCAUUGAAUUAAAAUUCUUUGUUAACUAUCAUCAAACAUUACAACUUAUAGAUAUAGCGGGUAAUACAUAUAGUAAAACAAUUAUUUGAUUGUAAAGCAUAUUAUAUCAUGAAAUCUUCUAAAACACUUCAUUUCUGAAUCAGAAACAGUCAUUUUUAAGUUUCAAUGUCCAAAGAUAUAUAUUUCCCAAACUACACAUUUCUGUAACAUUAGAUGAAGUUUUUCAAAUAAAAAAUAAAAUAUGUAUCAUAUAAAGUAAAAUAAAAAGUUUGAUUUUCAUACAUGGAUUUCUGAUUGUAAAUUGUUUAAGAUUUGUAAACGUCUUUUAUUAAAUAGAAAUAAAAGAAAAUAACAUAAAUAUGAUGAAUUACAAAGGUAAUAAUAAAUACAUUUCUAUCUUCUAUUGUCAUGGAGAUGUAAAAGGCAAGUUAUAUGCAAUAAUUGUGGAAUGUCCAGAUAAAAAAAUUGGAAAAUUACACUAUUACUGUAAAGUUAAAAAGAUAAAAAAAACAAAAUAUUACAUUACAAUAUCAUAAUAGUUACAAAAAUGAAUCUGUAUUACAUAACACUAUCCUAAGGUUGUUCUUCCUUGUUUAAAC